UACGUAGGCAGCAAGCGUUGUUCGGAGUUACUGGGCGUAAAGGGUGCGUAGGUGGCUCUAUAAGUAUGGUGUGAAAUCUCCCGGCUUAACUGGGAGGGUGCGCCGUAGACUGUGGGGCUAGAGUGUGGGAGAGGAAAGUGGGAAUUCCUGGUGUAGCGGUGAAAUGCGUAGAUAUCAGGAGGAACACCGGUGGUGUAAACGGCUUUCUGGACCAUAACUGACACUGAGGCACGAAAGCGUGGGUAGCGAACAGG
rnacentral:rRNA from 1 species